rnacentral:rRNA from 1 species
UACGUAGGGGGCAAGCGUUGUCCGGAUUUAUUGGGCGUAAAGAGCGUGUAGGCGGCCAUGUAAGUCCGUUGUGAAAGUCAGGGGCUCAACCCUUGAAUGCCGGCGGAUACUGUCGGGCUAGAGUCCGGAAGAGGCGAGUGGAAUUCCCGGUGUAGCGGUGAAAUGCGCAGAUAUCGGGAGGAACACCUAUGGCGAAGGCAGCUCGCUGGGACGGUACUGACGCUGAGACGCGAAAGCGUGGGGAGCAAACAGG